rnacentral:rRNA from 1 species
GACGAACGCUGGCGGCGUGCCUAAUACAUGCAAGUCGAACGCUUCUUUCCUCCCGAGUGCUUGCACUCAAUUGGAAAGAGGAGUGGCGGACGGGUGGGUAACACGUGGGUAACCUACCCAUCAGAGGGGGAUAACACUUGGAAACAGGUGCUAAUACCGCAUAACAGUUUAUGCCGCAUGGCAUAAGAGUGAAAGGCGCUUUCGGGUGUCGCUGAUGGAUGGACCCGCGGUGCAUUAGCUAGUUGGUGAGGUAACGGCUCACCAAGGCCACGAUGCAUAGCCGACCUGAGAGGGUGAUCGGCCACACUGGGACUGAGACACGGCCCAGACUCCUACGGGAGGCAGCAGUAGGGAAUCUUCGGCAAUGGACGAAAGUCUGACCGAGCAACGCCGCGUGAGUGAAGAAGGUUUUCGGAUCGUAAAACUCUGUUGUUAGAGAAGAACAAGGACGUUAGUAACUGAACGUCCCCUGACGGUAUCUAACCAGAAAGCCACGGCUAACUACGUG